GACGAACGCUGGCGGCGUGCCUAAUACAUGCAAGUCGAACGCAGUGGGGACGGGUGAGUAAAACGUGGGUAACCUCCCAUCAGAGGAGAUAACCCUUGGAAACAUCUGCUAAACCGAUACUGAUGUAUCGACCCGCGGUGGAUUAGCUAGUUGGUGGGGUAACGGCUCACCAAGGCCACGAUGCAUAGCUGACCUGAGAGGGUGAUCGGCCACACUGGGACUGAGACACGGCCCAGACUCCUAAGUGAGGCAGCAGUAGGGAAUAUUCGGCAAUGGACGAAAGUCUGACAGAGCAACGCCGCGUGAGUGAAGAAGGUUUUCGGAUCGUAAAACUCUGUUGUUAGAGAAGCGGUAUCUAAACAGAAAGCCACGGCUAACUACGUGCCAGCAGCCGCGGUAAUAC
rnacentral:rRNA from 1 species